ACUAACCAAAUUGAUCAUUUCUGGGAUAACUUAGAAGAAUGGGCUGUACCUUCACCACCUCAUAAUUGCUUCCCUUGCCUUGAGGAAAUAAGGAUCCACUGGUGCAGUAAUUUGACAUCUAUUCCAGAUUUACGAUUAUGGACUGCUCUCCCCUUUGUUCAAUACCUAUGGGUUGAUCCUGAUUUUGGUGAUUGUGAUGAUGAUGAUUCCAAUAAUUAGACGAGGGUGUAGAAGUAAAUCAGCUAGCCCUGCUAAAGUUCGCAUUAGCAAACAACAAACUUCAACAGGAUUCAAUUUGGAAUUGCAACGGAGCCAUCUAUAGAACACAUAUCCAGCACGUUAUUAGUUUUCGUUAAAAGCUUUCCUACAGUCUACAGAGAUAAAAAAAAACUACAUUUGUAUCGAGAAGUAAGGGGCUCACCGGAAGAGUUGAUUAAUUGGAGAUUUGAUUGGGUGAUGAGGGAUUGUGAGAGGUUGAGUAUGUGGGAGCUUGAGGAUGGCAAUUGGUUGAAUAUAUGAUUUGCCCCUCAGCAGGUGCUGGUGGUUGUGGUUUCAACCUAGUUGGGAU